rnacentral:rRNA from 1 species
UACGUAGGGGGCAAGCGUUGUCCGGAUUUAUUGGGCGUAAAGAGCGUGUAGGCGGCUUUACAGGUCCGUUGUGAAAACUCGAGGCUCAACCUCGAGACGCCGGUGGAAACCGUAAAGCUAGAGUCCGGAAGAGGAGAGUGGAAUUCCUGGUGUAGCGGUGAAAUGCGUAGAGACCGGGAAGAACACCAGUGGCGAAGGCGGCUACCUGGACAGGUACUGACGCUGAAGCGCGAAAGCUAGGGGAGCAAACAGG